rnacentral:misc_RNA from 1 species
GAUGAAGAACGUAGCGAAAUGCGAUAGUAAUGUGAAUUGCAGAAUUCAGUGAAUCAUCGAAUCUUUGAACGCACAUUGCGCCCGCCAGUAUUCUGGCGGGCAUGCCUGUCCGAGCGUCAUUUCAACCAUCAAGCCCCGGGCUUGUGUUGGGGACCUGCGUCCGACGCAGGCCCUGAAAACCAGUGGCGGGCUCGCUGUCCACACCGAGCGUAGUAACUAACCUCGCUAUGGAGUGGCGCGGGCGCCUGCCGUAAAACCCCCAAUUUCACAAGGUUGACCUCGGAUCAGGUAGGAAUACCCGCUGAACUUAAGCAUAUCAAUAAGCGGAGGA